UGGAGUUGUCGGGUCACAGGUAUUUAGUGUGAGACCUCUAUGGCAAGCUUCAGCUACAUGAACAUUAAAUUAUGAGGGAACCCAAAGUAAAAUCCUUACAUGUGGAGCCAGCCUACAAGAGCAACCUAGAAUAGACAUGCAGAGAGAAGCAGUAGCAAGAGCUUACACUGACAUUUGUAAAAUCCCUUCUCACCAUCCAGAGCCUUUUCUACUUUAAACAAACAGUAUGUUUUUGAGCAUGGCUUGGGCUGGAUUGCCCACCUCCAGAGAACCUGUUUGUCUUACACUAAUCAGCAUUAUUACAUCAUUCUGUCCAUGUGACUGAUUCAGAGUAGGCAUGUGAACCAUUAAUGGACAAUAAAGGAGACAGUUGCUGGAGUUUUGUUUGUUUUUUUUUUUUUGUUUUUGAGACUGGGUUUCGCUCUGUCAUCCAGGCUGACGGGCAAUGGCGGGAUCAUGGCUCAGUGCAGUUUCGAUCUCCUGGGCUCAAGUGGUCCUCCCACCUCAGCCUCCCAAGAAGUUGGGACCACAGGAGGGGGCCACCAUACCCGGCUAAUUUUUUUGAUGUUUUGUAGAUAUAGGGUCUCCCUAUGUUGCCCAGGUUGGUCUCUAACUCCUGAGCUCAAGUGUUCUGCCCACUUCAGCCUCCCAAAGUGCUAGGGUGAAAGGCCUGAGUCACCACUGCCAGCCAAUUGCUGAAGUUUUUGGAAAAGAAAAUUCUUGUCUGAUCCAUGGGAGUUGCUUCAAAGGCCACAGGAUUCUGCUGCAAAUUCUAACAGGAGGAGGCAAUGGCAGCCCUUACUAAAACCGCAGAACUACAGGAAGAGGAUCCCUGAGUGGGAUUCCUGUGUGAAAGGCAUUUUCACCUUUUUGUGUAUCUUCAGAAUCUUAACUUUCAUGAGAGAAGAAUAGAAAUGCAACAAUGGAACAAUCCACUGUAUACACGUAGCUGACAAUUUAAUAAACUUGAAGGAAAUGCUACAGAGUCCUGUCAAUGUCUUUCUUGGUCCACAUGCGGCUUCUGUAGGAGAUCUUCUAUGUGUCAGGCCAGAAAUUCCAUGCAACCAGUCCUAGAUUUCCCAAUGGUGGUGCUGAAUGGAGCGUUUCACUUGGUGUCAUUGUCAGACAGUUCUGCCAAGUUUGUUAUUAGGCCUCACGUGGCCUAUGUAACAGGUUUUCCCCUACAUCUUGUCUAACCAACCUAGCAAAACUUUCAGUUCAUCCCCUUCUAUUCCAAUCUGAUCAAAGCUUGAGAGUGUCUCAUGAAAUUUUAUAGGUUUAGUUGUCUCAUUUAAAUUACCACCAUGAAAAUCUCCUGGAUCUUAAAAUUAAUGUAAACUUUAAUCUACAAUGUGAUUUCUUCCCCACCUGUGGCCUGAUUUUUAUUUUUUUUUAUUUUUUAUUUUUAUUUUUAUUUUUAUUUAUUUAUUUAUUUUUUUAUUGAUAAUUCUUGGGUGUUUCUCACAGAGGGGGAUUUGGCAGGGUCAUGGG
rnacentral:lncRNA from 1 species